rnacentral:rRNA from 1 species
GACGAACGCUGGCGGCGCGCCUAACACAUGCAAGUCGAACGAGCGAGAGAGAGCUUGCUUUCUCGAGCGAGUGGCGAACGGGUGAGUAACGCGUGAGGAACCUGCCUCAAAGAGGGGGACAACAGUUGGAAACGACUGCUAAUACCGCAUAAGCCCACGGCUCGGCAUCGAGCAGGGGGAAAAGGAGCAAUCCGCUUUGAGAUGGCCUCGCGUCCGAUUAGCUAGGUGGUGAGGUAACGGCCCACCAAGGCGACGAUCGGUAGCCGGACUGAGAGGUUGAACGGCCACAUUGGGACUGAGCCACGGCCCAGACUCCUACGGGAGGCAGCAGUGGGGAAUAUUGCAAAAUGGGGGAAACCCUGAUGCAGCGACGCCGCGUGGAGGAAGAAGGUCUUCGGAUUGUAAACUCCUGUUGUUGGGGAAGAUAAUGACGGUACCCAAAAAGGAAGUGACGGCUAACUACGUG